rnacentral:lncRNA from 1 species
CCGUGAUAUGCGGUCGGUAACCGUUCGUGAUGGUUAUGGCAUAUUAAGCAGAUUAGCCGACUGUAUGUCGGUAGUCACGGCCGUCAGUUGAUGAUUCUGCUGUAUCGUCGAUCACCGGUCAUAAGUCGGUGAUAUUUGUUCAAUCGGUUGAUGAAGAGUCAGAGUCAUCAGUUCGGCCGAUGCUCCAUCGAAGUUGUACGUUCGGUCAGUCGCUAUAUUCGGAUCGGAGUCGAUCAGUUGAAGUCAUACGUUCGGUCGGUCGGCUAUCGUCGAGUCGGAGUCGUGGAGAUCAAAGUCGGGGUCGGUGGGUUUACCCCAACAGUUGCCCCCCACUCUCAAUAUACAAUAAAGUCCAUGAAAUAUAGGGAUAUAAAAUAAGAUCUGAAGCUAGAUAUGGGCACUCUGGCAUGGCCCGACCCAGGUCUUGGCACGGCCCUAGGCUCGGGUCUGGCGGGCCAUGCCAGGCGCGGUCCGUGGUCCGUCAAGCCUUGGGCCUGAUGGGCGAUCUAUUUUUAUUUAUUUAAAAAAAAAUAAUCCAAAUAGAUCAUGCCAGGC